rnacentral:rRNA from 1 species
UGCAGUCGAGCGGCAGCGGAAGUAGCUUGUUACUUUGCCGGCGAGCGGCGGACGGGUGAGUAAUGUCUGGGAAACUGCCUGAUGGAGGGGGAUAACUACUGGAAACGGUAUCUAAUACCGCAUAACGUCGCAAGACCAAAGAGGGGGACCUUCGGGCCUCUUGCCAUCAGAUGUGCCCAGAUGGGAUUAGCUUGUAGGUGGGGUAACGGCUCAUCUGGGCCACUAUCCCUAGCUGGUCUGAGAGGAUGACCAGCCACUGUGGAACUGACACCCUCCCCACACUCCUACGGGAGGCCGCUGUGGGGAAUAUUGCACUAUGCGCGCGAGCCUGAUGCAGCCAUGCCGCGUGUAUGAAGAAGGCCUUCGGGUUGUAAAGUACUUUCAGCGGGGAAGAAGGUGUUGAGGUUAAUAACCUCAGCGAUUGACGUUACCCGCAGAAAAAGCAUCGGCUAACUCCGUGCUGGAUGCCGCGGUUAUACAGAGGGUGCAAGCGUUUAUCGGAAUUACUGAGCGUAUCGCGCGCGCGUGCGGUCUCUCGUCUCAGAUGUGAAAUCCCCGGGCUCAACCUGGGAUCUGCAUUCGAAACUGGUAAGCUAGAGUCUUGUAGAGGGGGGUAAAAUUCGGGGUAUCGCGGAGAAGACAUAGAUAUGGGGAGAAUACCGGGGGAUAAGGUCCCCCCUUGCUACACAGACUGUCGCUCAUGUGCGACAGUGUGUGUCGCAGACGGCAUCAUAUACCCGGGUAGUCCACGCCGAUAUCUAUGUCUACGUGGAUGUGUGCCAUUAUGCGGCGCUCUAGGAGAUAUGCCUGACUA